UUCUUACCAUUGUUGACCAGAACAGCGGUAGACCUGGCCACCGCAGAGAGCAAAGACAACACAAAGGCCUGAGCAAACAGCCAAAGGACAGUGAUAGAGCAUCAGACCUGUAUGAGUUAUUAUAGAGAUGAACAGAGUCAAGUACAGCUUUGACCUCUCCUGAAGGUGUCUGUUCAAUGAGUUCCUCAUGUUCAAGGAGCAGUACACAUAUAGAUGUUGAGGAAAACCAUGGAGUUCCCUACGGAUGAUGUGCUGCACAUAUAAUUUCCUACAGGGGAGAAAGCACCUUGAGCCUGAAGUUCUUUGUUUUUUUGACCACAUAAAGGCAUAAAGAUUGCUAUUGUGGCCUGCUUUCUUGAGAUGCUGAGCGGCCAUAAAUUCUUGUGAAGUUGAGGAAGUCGUAUGUACUACUG